ensembl:lncRNA
GACCUUAACACUCAAACCUUUUAAAUCUGGAUCUAGCAAUCAGAGAGAGGUAGUCAGAAAUUUAAAGCACCAGAAGGAUUUGACGCACCAUUGCUACCUUGAAGAUGGAGGGAGCCGCAAGGCAAGGAAUAUGGGCAGCCUCUAGAAGCUGACAGCAGCCCCGAGCUGACAGCAAGCAAAUAAAUGGAUACCUAAGUCCUACAACUUCGAGGAACUGAAUUCUGUCAACGAGAAUGAGCUUGGAAGUGGAUUUCCCCCCAGCGUCUCCAGAUGAGAACUCAGUCCAGACAAUAUCUUGAUUUUGGUCUUUGAUACCCUGCCCAGAGAAUCUGGUCAUGCUGUGAAGGACUGCUGACCUGCAGAACUAGAAGCACAUGAAUGUACUGUUUUAAGCUGCUAAACUUAUUUUUCAUUACACAGCAACAGAAAACUAAAUGCAAAAAAGAAAGUAGGAGGAUGUUUGUAUCUUAAUUCUAAAUAGUGAGGCACAUGGAAAAGAAGAUUAUUUCUUCCAUCCCUCCAAAAGCCAAAUUCCUGCACCCUCAGGCUGCUUGAUUUGCCUAAGCAGUCACGACAAACUAUGGCCUCUGCAAUGGUGCUGUUGCGUUGCAAAUAACACUUAAAGACAAUUACCGGAGCAUACGGUGAACAGAACACCUAUUAUUUGAGAUUCAAUGCUCUAACCCCAAUCCUGGGCCUGCUGCACAGCCCAUCAAAGGCAGCAACAGCCAAUCCUAGCCAGUCUGCUGGCUGCGUCCUAGCCAAUAGUUGAUUUCACUAGCUCCUGGCCGGCUGACCAUUGGAGGAACAUUUGUAUCACGUGGGUGAAAGCUAAGAACAUCUGCCAAAGAAACCUGUGGGAAGCCCUGGAUGUGGCAUCUGCAGCAUCAGAGCCCCAGCCUCUGAAGCCACCAAGACCUGAACAGCCUGUUAGAGACCACCACAAGCUGGGCUCCCCCACUGCGUGACAGGAAGAUUAGCUCUGAGCUAACUUCUGCUGCCAAUCCUCCUCUUUUGGCUGAGGUAGCCUGGCCCUGAGCUAACAUCCGUGCCCAUCUUCCUCCACUUUAUAUGUGGGAUGCCUAGCACAGCAUGGCUUGACAAGUGGCGCCAUGUCCACACCCAGGAUCUGAACCAGCGAACCCCAGGCUGCUGAAGUGGAAUAUGCAGACUUAACUGCCGGGCCACUGUGCUGGCCCCCCGUUUUACAUUUUUGUUUUAAAUAGUCUGCCCAAGUGCUACCAAUGACGCUUCUCAUUCUUUUUGGAAAUGCACAUCUGAAUCCCCUUUCAAUGCGGAAUUUCCCUAACGAGACCAAACCUGCCUCCUACUAGGAAGACUGAAAAUACCAGCUACUCAAUUCCCUAGCCUCCGGCAGCUAAGGCAGGCAACAGGAUUUGCUAUAAAAUUCACAAAAUGCUAUAGAUAUUGCUUUUAAGGAAUCCUUAAAUUUUGUCAUCCAAGAGUUUGGAAGGCUCUUCCUUAGAUCUUUUCAUGGCUGACUACCACUCGUCAUCUGCGUCUUAAGGAUGCCUUCCCCAACCUCUGCCUGCCACACCGCCCCACACAGCUGCAUGAAGAAGUUCCUUCUGUCCACACUCUGUACCCUAGUGUUAAGGGAAUGAAUGGAUGAAUCAAUUAUGAAAUUGAAUUUCCUAAAAUGCUUCUAUGAAAACAGUGAAAUGAAAGCCAGUCAACUAAAACAUGGCAGAAAUCAUCAGAAGCUGUUAAAAACAUCCCAUCCACAAUAUAAACUGCUAUAAACUUUAUGGUAUUUUUUUUUAAAUAUAUAUUUUUUUGAAAAUUAGCAUUUUGGGUAUCUUUGGGAUAAUCAGUUUUCUGGUUAAAUUUGCUUCUGGUAAAUUGAUUUUUGGCAACUUGCCCUAGAAUCAAACAAGGGCAAGAGACGGUUGCUGGAGCGAUGCGAAGGCACUGGAUGGCAAGCCCUCCCUCGGCCGUGGGCAGGGGGUGACUGUCGAGAGAGCAGGGGGACUCCGUGAAGGAAGGUGACUCGGUGUGACUGCACGUGAGAAGAUCUGGAUGCAGCCGCAUAACCUUACCAGGAGAUAACCUGAAAUACAUUUUAAUAUUCCUGAAGGCUGAAACCUAAAUGUAUCUUUGCUUGACCAAAGAUAGUAUAUAUAUAUAUAUGUAUAUAUAUAUAUGCACACAUAUAUUUAUCUCUUUUUCCUAAAUGAUGGCAGAAGUCAGUUACAACUAAUAAAGGACUGAAAUAUGGUUUUUCUGUUGUGUCAAUGACCUGGUGGACCUAACGGCAUUUCAGAGAGAGACACAGUCAUCUUCACAGCAUUAAAAUGGAAUUUCAGGCAAAUUGUUAUUGACUGGCGUGAAAAAUAGAUGAAAUCCUGGAUGUCAAAUGAGAGCAAAAGCUUGAGAGGGCCCCUAAACCUUGAUCUUUUUCUUUGACUUCUCUGUUGAAACAGCAAUCACGCAGUGACUGGGGGAGAGGUGAGCUUGGUAUCAGCUAAAGAUAAUUAAUUCUCAGAGACUAAUAAAUAAAGAUAACAAUAUGUCAUAUUAUGCUUAGCACAUCUGGUACCUCAAAACCGAGAAGCAAAGAAAAACUGAAAUUUGAGUCAGCUAUCCUAACUGGAAAAAUUGCCUCAAACGUGACUCUGAACUGCUUGUCCAUGAAACCAAGCUCUGCCUGCGCCAUCCUCGCCGGCCUUCAGCUCGGGACACGGCGCUGACGCGGUGGGGAAAGGCAGACGAUCGGCUUCCGGGCGGCUGAGGAGUCGGGUGGCACCAACGCUGUAAGUGGACACAGAAGCAAAUGAUCACCUGAAGUGAAAGCAUCGUUUGAAUGAACAUAGAACUUAUCUCCUAAAUAUGGGUUCUGCUGGAGCUAGCCCACUGAUUAUUUUCAGUCUCUUUGAGAUUCCAUCUUUAUAUAAAAAUUCAACUGAGUUUUUUUCCCACAAAAAAAUAUGCUACAUACUUUAAAUAAUAGUCUUUUUUUUUUUAAGGAAAAGGUGUUGCUAUAUCAGGAAGAAGCAUAGAAACUAAAAUUAUUGGAAAAACUGCUAAACCCUGUACAAAAUGUCAUGAACACAUUCUACAUACCAGGCAUUGGGUCCAUUGGCUGACCUAACAGAAUUGACAGCCCAGUGAAGGAAAAUAGACCCCUGAAUAAAUAUGUAAUAAUCUUAAUAAAAUGUGUCAUGAUUAGGGUAUAUAAAUACUAUGAAAAGAAUUGGAAGUAAAACAUCUUGAAAUAAUAGAAAUCAAUAUAAUUUGGAAGAUUUAUUGUAUUAAUAAAUGACCUUCAUUACAUUUAUCCAAGUCAGGACGACAAAAUGGAUGCUAUAAAUGGUGAAAAGCAGGAGAGAGAAAAAUUGGGCAGUUUUCAUUUCACAUACUGUCAUUUCUUUCUUUUUUUUUUGGUGAGGAAGAUUCACCCUGAGCCAAUAUCUGUUGCCAAUCUUCCUCUUUUUUUUUUUUUUUUUUUUGGCUUGAGGAAGAUUAGCCCUGAGCUAACAUCUGUGCCAAUCUUCCUCUACUUGGUAUGUGGGAUGCCUCCACAGCAUGGCUGAUGAGUGGAGUAGGUCUGCACCAGGAUCGGAACCAUGAACCCAGGCCACCAAAGUGGAGUGCCCGGAACUUUAAUCACCUGUCCACAGGGCCAGCCCCUCACAGACUGUAAUUUCUAGAUUGGCUUAUGAAACAAACACUUCAUGUUGGAAAGAAUAUAUGAAGAGCAUAGCACCUCGUAUGGAUCAGCAGGAAUUAUGCUGGCUGCUGGAGAUGCGGAGCUAAUAAGCAAUGUCCUGGAGGGAGAAAGACAAGGG